UACACGACCGUACCGCAAACCGACACUGGUGCGCGAGAUGAGUAUUCUAAGGCGCUUGAGAGAACUCAGGAGAAGGAACUCGGCAAAUUGACACCGUAACUUCGGAAGAAGGUGUGCCCUAUUAGUGUGAAGUGAACAACGGAGCAUGAAUGGGUUGCAAAAAAUCGGUGGCUGCGACUGUUUAUUAAAAACACAGCACUCUGCAAACACGAAAGUGGACGUAUAGGGUGUGACGCCUGCCCGGUGCUGGAAGAUUAAAUGAUGGGGUGCAAGCUCUUGAUUGAAGUCCCAGUAAACGGCGGCCGUAACAAUAACGGUCCUAAGGUAGCGAAAUUCCUUGUCGGGUAAGUUCCGACCUGCACGAAUGGCGUAACGAUGGCCACACUGUCUCCUCCUGAGACUCAGCGAAGUUGAAAUGUUUGUGAUGAUGCAAUCUCCCCGCGGAAAGACGGAAAGACCCCAUGAACCUUUACUGUAGCUUUGUAUUGGACUUUGAACAGAUCUGUGUAGGAUAGGUGGGAGGCUUUGAAGCAGGGUCGCUAGAUCUUGUGGAGCCAACGUUGAAAUACCACCCUGGUGUGUUUGAGGUUCUAACCUAGGUCCAUUAUCUGGAUCGGGGACAGUGCAUGGUAGGCAGUUUGACUGGGGCGGUCUCCUCCCAAAGCGUAACGGAGGAGUUCGAAGGUACGCUAGUUACGGUCGGACAUCGUGACGAUAGUGCAAUGGCAUAAGCGUGCUUAACUGCGAGACUGACAAGUCGAGCAGAUGCGAAAGCAGGACAUAGUGAUCCGGUGGUUCUGUAUGGAAGGGCCAUCGCUCAACGGAUAAAAGGUACUCUGGGGAUAACAGGCUGAUACCGCCCAAGAGUUCAUAUCGACGGCGGUGUUUGGCACCUCGAUGUCGGCUCAUCUCAUCCUGGGGCUGUAGCCGGUCCCAAGGGUAUGGCUGUUCGCCAUUUAAAGAGGUACGUGAGCUGGGUUUAAAACGUCGUGAGACAGUUUGGUCCCUAUCUUCCGUGGGCGCUGCAGAUUUGAGGAAGCCUGCUCCUAGUACGAGAGGACCGGAGUGGACACACCUCUGGUGUAUCGGUUGUCACGCCAGUGGCAUUGCCGAGUAGCUAAGUGUGGAAGAGAUAACCGCUGAAAGCAUCUAAGCGGGAAACUCGUUUCAAGAUGAGAUCUGCCGGGGCCUUGAGCCCCCUGAAGAGUCGUUCAAGACCAGGACGUUGAUAGGUCAGGUGUGGAAGC
rnacentral:rRNA from 1 species